GGGGAGCUAUAAGGAUGCCGCUCCCGACGAGACGCGCCGUACCGGGACCGUAGCCAAGCGUAUUCCAAAAAGUGCAUCGCGGUUUUUGGAAUCAAAUGCGCGACUGAAACUACGGACAGACAAGACGACGCUCC
rnacentral:ncRNA from 1 species